AGACUGAAAUUAGAUUAGCUCUGUUCCAGCAAGCAGUUUUGACUUUCUGCAAAGAAGGACUGUAAGAGUGUGGGAAUGAGCGUGUAAAUUUUUCCCACAUGACUUACUGCUUGUGCCCUUUUGUAGUAUCCCUUUAGCAGCUACUGCAUGGCAUGACCUUUUCAGCAUAUUUAUCAGUUUCAGCGUUAUGGACGACACAGAGGCUGAAAUAUAGCUGCUGGGAGGAUGAACUGAUCCAAAAUUGUUUUUAUUGCAGGGCUGCUUUGAAGCUCUUGCAUCCCGGUACGUGCAUCUGAAGCUCUGAUGCACAAAUAUAAUGCAGAACUCAAAUUCCACAUAAAGAAAUAGGUGCACUACCAAGACGCAGAUGAACUGAUGGACUGGCUCAGCACUUCUGCUCUUCACACUUGGAAGAUCAUGUGAAGACCAGGGAAAGUAAGGUUGUAUCCUAUAAAGACAGGUGGGGCUGAGAUGCGAGUAUGCCACAGUCCACUGUGGUACUGGAAGAAGGAAAAAUCUGAAGCCUAAAUCACCUAACUACAACCUCUAAUUUCUAAUUAGAGACAAGACUUCACAUUAGAUGGCAACACUUUUCUGAGAGCAGCUGUCAGAGUGGUCAGAUGGAGAUUUUCAACUAACCUUUUUUUCCCCCCUCUCAUCAAACAGAGCAAGGGAAAGGAAAACAUAUCUAAGUGGCUGUAACAUGUUCAGCUGAAAACAAGUGGCCUAAUUGUGGAAAGAGUUCCAGCUGAAAGAACCCAUUGUUCACCAUACCACAGAGUUUUAAAGAAAAAUAUACACCUUGGACUCCUGUAUGGUGUCAGUGACUUAAGUGUUGCUAUUUGAACCUAUUUUUAAAAGUUAUUUCUGAGAUGCAAUAGAGUUGGUUUAGUAAUCUAAUUUUUUCCCGCUCAUCUUCUGUUUUAUGGCUUACCCUGCAGGACUUCUUGUUUCCACUGUGACUCACUUACUGACAUCAACAUCUGUUUUAGAGCCUGCAGCCUUUCCAGAGCAGGAAUUUAUUUGGUAGUGGGUGCUAUGUCACCAAGGAUGCGAAAUCUAAGAUGUAAAGAGUGGAGAAAUUCUUAUUGUGUGCCUUCCUACAGCUUUAUUUUUGCAUUUUGUACAUGUAAAUAACACUCCCUUUUGCUGCUGGCUUUGUGUGUCUGUAUCAGAGGUCUGUUAAAUCUCCUGCUGAAUGUCAAGAUAAUACCUCAGUUAAGGCCUGUCCCUGCUUCCUGCUGGGACUUGCUACUUAGGGAGAUAACACUCUCUAAGAUACAGAAUAGGGCACAUUUUGAUUACAGAAUCCAGCGAAUAUUUCAGUUUUCCCUUAUCUCUACUGUUUGCUUGUUUCGGUCUCCAAUGGCUCUGUGAAUGUCUCCAUGCACACAAAAGGGAAUUCCCAGGUUCUGCAUUGUGCUCCCUGUAUAAAUGAAUUUUAAAGCGGGGAAGCUUACAUAUCAGUUUUGGUUUAUGUACUCUGCCAGUCCUGUGAAAGGCAGCAGGCUUCCAAUGGGUUUGCGUAUUGCUGUCCAGUGCCGUCUUACAAUGAGGAAACCAAGUAAAAAGAAAGCUCAAAGAUCUGAAAAAAUUUCUGGCUUUGUGAGGUGAGGCCCAUUGAGAGGGAGCUGUGUGUUAGUGAAAAUGGCUACUAAAUGACCAAGUACAAUAUAGUAUAUACU
ensembl:lncRNA